CGUAUUCCUACGGGAGGCAGCAGUAAGGAAUAUUGGUCAAUGGAGGCAACUCUGAACCAGCCAUGCCGCGUGCAGGAAGACAGCCCUCUGGGUCGUAAACUGCUUUUAUUCGGGAAUAAACCUUUCUACGUGUAGGAAGCUGAAUGUACCGAAGGAAUAAGGAUCGGCUAACUCCGUGCCAGCAGCCGCGGUAAUACGGAGGAUCCAAGCGUUAUCCGGAUUUAUUGGGUUUAAAGGGUGCGUAGGCGGCUUAUUAAGUCAGGGGUGAAAGACGGUGGCUCAACCAUCGCAGUGCCUUUGAUACUGAUGAGCUUGAAUGAACUAGAGGUAGGCGGAAUGUGACAAGUAGCGGUGAAAUGCAUAGAUAUGUCACAGAACACCGAUUGCGAAGGCAGCUUACUAUGGUUUUAUUGACGCUGAGGCACGAAAGCGUGGGGAUCAAACAGGAUUAGAUACCCUGGUAGUCCACGCCCUAAACGAUGAAUACUCGCUGUUAGCGAUAUACAGUUAGCGGCUAAGCGAAAGCGUUAAGUAUUCCACCUGGGGAGUACGCCCGCAAGGGUGAAACUCAAAGGAAUUGACGGGGGCCCGCACAAGCGGAGGAGCAUGUGGUAUGAUUCGAUGAUACGCGAGGAACCUUACCCGGGCUUGAAAGUUAGUAAUUAUCCAGAGAUGGAUAAGGAGA
rnacentral:rRNA from 1 species